GACGAACGCUGGCGGCGUGCUUAACACAUGCAAGUCGAACGGAAAGGCCCUGCUUUUGUGGGGUGCUCGAGUGGCGAACGGGUGAGUAACACGUGAGUAACCUGCCCUUGACUUUGGGAUAACUUCAGGAAACUGGGGCCAAUACCGGAUAGGUGCUCCUGCUGCAUGGUGGGUGUUGGAAAGUUUCGGCGGUUGGGGAUGGACUCGCGGCUUAUCAGGUUGUUGGUGGGGUAGUGGAUUACCAAGGCCUUGACGGGUAGCCUGCCUGAGCGGGUUGCCUGACACAUUGGGACUGAGAUACGGCCCAGACUCCUACGGGACGCAGCAGUGGGGAAUAUUGCACAAUGGGCUGAAGCCUAAUGCAACAACGCCGCGUGCGGGAUAACGGGCAGCGGGUUGUAUACCGCUUUCGCCUGAGAAGAAGCGUGAGUGACGGUAAUGGGUAAAGAAGCACCGGCUAACUACGUG
rnacentral:rRNA from 1 species